AUUGAACGCUGGCGGCAUGCUUUACACAUGCAAGUCGCACGAGUGGCGGACGGGUGAGUAAUAUAUCGGAACGUACCGAGUAAUGGGGGAUAACUAAUCGAAAGAUUAGCUAAUACCGCAUAUUAUUCGAGCGGCCGAUAUCUGAUUAGCUAGUUGGUGGGGUAAAGGCUUACCAAGGCGACGAUCAGUAGCGGGUCUGAGAGGAUGAGACGCCACACUGGAACUGGGAAACGGCCCAGAGUCCGACGGUAGGCAGCAGUGGGGAAUUUUGGACAAUGGGCGCAAGCCUGAUACAGCCAUGCCGCGUGUCUGAAGAAGGCCUUCGGGUUGUAAAGUACUUUCAGUCGGGAGGCGUUACCGACAGAAGAAGCACCGGCUAACUCCGUGCCAGCAGCCGCGGUAAUUC
rnacentral:rRNA from 1 species